GAGGCUCAUUGUGUAUGUCUCAUCUUUUCUGUAUCACAGCACCACACGUUGAGAGGACAAACAACAUUAUCCUCAGCCCGUCCAAGGUUGCCAGACUGCUACCAGGUUCCUCCUCUCAUUCACAUACACACUCAAAAGAUAAUUGAUCAAAGUGAAAGGCCAAGAAUAUUCCCAUCUCUGGAGAAUGGAUUCAAAACUGUCAGCUCAUCAGAGUGCUGCAAUCACAAUGUCGAUCAAAUUGAAAAGUGAUCCAUAAAUGUGAACGUGGGCUUGAUGGAUUCUUUAGACACCAUAGGAAGAAACUGACUCAGGAAUUGGAGAUAAUACAGUUUAAACGCCAGAGCAGCUCCAGGAAGGGUGACGCCGAAUGUUAUAAACACGACAAAAAGACCUGUCUGCUCGCGUUCGGAAACCUGAAGACCGGAGCCAAAAACGCAGCGAAUUCACCCACCAUAUCCUAUUCACAAUACAUCUGCAGCACAUGACUCACUGCUUAGGCACACAAAAUGUUCAUUACUCAUAUAAGAGUGUGCAUGUUGGUGCCGAGAGCAGUCGCCUCAUUGGCCGUGGACGGAUCAUGUGCUGCAAACGCUCCUGUGUUAUGUUGAUGAACAGGACGGCCUCAAAGGCCGGCUUGAGUGCACCGCAAUUAGUUACAGAAAAUCACAGUUUUAAUGGACUCUCUUUUUGCUAAAUUAAGGGAGACGGUGAACAAAGAGUCAUCUCGUGCACUAUCAUGUAAAUGGGAAAUGCAUCGGAUAUGUGCAUAUGUAAAAGGAAGUGCUGAUGUACUUUUCUUUUAUGGCGUCAGAAUUGUUGAGGCCGCCGUUUCAUCUGAUCAGGUGUUUUAAACUCUGACAGCAGCUUUGUUUUUGUUCACAACUUGUAGAUUUUGAUCUUUUCCAUCCAGGAUAAAGUGAUGUCUUCAAUGUUCAUCGACACUAUAGAUAAAGCAACAUGUUCACCGGCUUGGAACCAAUAAAGACGUUCAAACCUUCGCUAAAACGGAAAAGAAAAUCUGAGAUUUGACUCUGGAAAUAAGUUGAUUCAUGAGGAAUAAAAAGCUCAACAAAAUGAA